rnacentral:rRNA from 1 species
GGGUUGUGAGGUUAAGCGACUAAGCGUACACGGUGGAUGCCCUGGCAGUCAGAGGCGAUGAAGGACGUGCUAAUCUGCGAUAAGCGUCGGUAAGGUGAUAUGAACCGUUAUAACCGGCGAUUUCCGAAUGGGGAAACCCAGUGUGUUUCGACACACUAUCAUUAACUGAAUCCAUAGGUUAAUGAGGCGAACCGGGGGAACUGAAACAUCUAAGUACCCCGAGGAAAAGAAAUCAACCGAGAUUCCCCCAGUAGCGGCGAGCGAACGGGGAGCAGCCCAGAGCCUGAAUCAGUGUGUGUGUUAGUGGAAGCGUCUGGAAAGGCGCGCGAUACAGGGUGACAGCCCCGUACACAAAAAUGCACAUGCUGUGAGCUCGAUGAGUAGGGCGGGACACGUGGUAUCCUGUCUGAAUAUGGGGGGACCAUCCUCCAAGGCUAAAUACUCCUGACUGACCGAUAGUGAACCAGUACCGUGAGGGAAAGGCGAAAAGAACCCCGGCGAGGGGAGUGAAAAAGAACCUGAAACCGUGUACGUACAAGCAGUGGGAGCCUCUUUUAUGGGGUGACUGCGUACCUUUUGUAUAAUGGGUCAGCGACUUAUAUUCUGUAGCAAGGUUAACCGAAUAGGGGAGCCGAAGGGAAACCGAGUCUUAACUGGGCGUUAAGUUGCAGGGUAUAGACCCGAAACCCGGUGAUCUAGCCAUGGGCAGGUUGAAGGUUGGGUAACACUAACUGGAGGACCGAACCGACUAAUGUUGAAAAAUUAGCGGAUGACUUGUGGCUGGGGGUGAAAGGCCAAUCAAACCGGGAGAUAGCUGGUUCUCCCCGAAAGCUAUUUAGGUAGCGCCUCGUGAAUUCAUCUCCGGGGGUAGAGCACUGUUUCGGCAAGGGGGUCAUCCCGACUUACCAACCCGAUGCAAACUGCGAAUACCGGAGAAUGUUAUCACGGGAGACACACGGCGGGUGCUAACGUCCGUCGUGAAGAGGGAAACAACCCAGACCGCCAGCUAAGGUCCCAAAGUCAUGGUUAAGUGGGAAACGAUGUGGGAAGGCCCAGACAGCCAGGAUGUUGGCUUAGAAGCAGCCAUCAUUUAAAGAAAGCGUAAUAGCUCACUGGUCGAGUCGGCCUGCGCGGAAGAUGUAACGGGGCUAAACCAUGCACCGAAGCUGCGGCAGCGACGCUUAUGCGUUGUUGGGUAGGGGAGCGUUCUGUAAGCCUGUGAAGGUGUGCUGUGAGGCAUGCUGGAGGUAUCAGAAGUGCGAAUGCUGACAUAAGUAACGAUAAAGCGGGUGAAAAGCCCGCUCGCCGGAAGACCAAGGGUUCCUGUCCAACGUUAAUCGGGGCAGGGUGAGUCGACCCCUAAGGCGAGGCCGAAAGGCGUAGUCGAUGGGAAACAGGUUAAUAUUCCUGUACUUGGUGUUACUGCGAAGGGGGGACGGAGAAGGCUAUGUUGGCCGGGCGACGGUUGUCCCGGUUUAAGCGUGUAGGCUGGUUUUCCAGGCAAAUCCGGAAAAUCAAGGCUGAGGCGUGAUGACGAGGCACUACGGUGCUGAAGCAACAAAUGCCCUGCUUCCAGGAAAAGCCUCUAAGCAUCAGGUAACAUCAAAUCGUACCCCAAACCGACACAGGUGGUCAGGUAGAGAAUACCAAGGCGCUUGAGAGAACUCGGGUGAAGGAACUAGGCAAAAUGGUGCCGUAACUUCGGGAGAAGGCACGCUGAUAUGUAGGUGAAGCGACUUGCUCGUGGAGCUGAAAUCAGUCGAAGAUACCAGCUGGCUGCAACUGUUUAUUAAAAACACAGCACUGUGCAAACACGAAAGUGGACGUAUACGGUGUGACGCCUGCCCGGUGCCGGAAGGUUAAUUGAUGGGGUUAGCGCAAGCGAAGCUCUUGAUCGAAGCCCCGGUAAACGGCGGCCGUAACUAUAACGGUCCUAAGGUAGCGAAAUUCCUUGUCGGGUAAGUUCCGACCUGCACGAAUGGCGUAAUGAUGGCCAGGCUGUCUCCACCCGAGACUCAGUGAAAUUGAACUCGCUGUGAAGAUGCAGUGUACCCGCGGCAAGACGGAAAGACCCCGUGAACCUUUACUAUAGCUUGACACUGAACAUUGAGCCUUGAUGUGUAGGAUAGGUGGGAGGCUUAGAAGUGUGGACGCCAGUCUGCAUGGAGCCGACCUUGAAAUACCACCCUUUAAUGUUUGAUGUUCUAACGUUGACCCGUAAUCCGGGUUGCGGACAGUGUCUGGUGGGUAGUUUGACUGGGGCGGUCUCCUCCUAAAGAGUAACGGAGGAGCACGAAGGUUGGCUAAUCCUGGUCGGACAUCAGGAGGUUAGUGCAAUGGCAUAAGCCAGCUUGACUGCGAGCGUGACGGCGCGAGCAGGUGCGAAAGCAGGUCAUAGUGAUCCGGUGGUUCUGAAUGGAAGGGCCAUCGCUCAACGGAUAAAAGGUACUCCGGGGAUAACAGGCUGAUACCGCCCAAGAGUUCAUAUCGACGGCGGUGUUUGGCACCUCGAUGUCGGCUCAUCACAUCCUGGGGCUGAAGUAGGUCCCAAGGGUAUGGCUGUUCGCCAUUUAAAGUGGUACGCGAGCUGGGUUUAGAACGUCGUGAGACAGUUCGGUCCCUAUCUGCCGUGGGCGCUGGAGAACUGAGGGGGGCUGCUCCUAGUACGAGAGGACCGGAGUGGACGCAUCACUGGUGUUCGGGUUGUCAUGCCAAUGGCACUGCCCGGUAGCUAAAUGCGGAAGAGAUAAGUGCUGAAAGCAUCUAAGCACGAAACUUGCCCCGAGAUGAGUUCUCCCUGACUCCUUGAGAGUCCUGAAGGAACGUUGAAGACGACGACGUUGAUAGGCCGGGUGUGUAAGCGCAGCGAUGCGUUGAGCUAACCGGUACUAAUGAACCGUGAGGCUUAACCUUACAACGCCGAAG